GUGGAGGGAACUUUCCCAGGCCCCGAGGCGGAUCGGGUAUUGAGUCCAUGGAGCGAGCUGAGAGCUAGAGUACAGAACCUGCUAAGGCCAUCAAACCUAUCGAUCGGAAGUCAGUCCAUCAGAUUUGCUCUGGGCCGGUGGUACUGAGUCUAAGCACUGCGGUGAAGGAGUUAGUAGAAAACAGUCUGGAUGCUGGUGCCACCAAUAUUGAUCUAAAGCUUAAGGACUAUGGAGUGGAUCUCAUUGAAGUUUCAGACAAUGGAUGUGGGGUAGAAGAAGAAAACUUUGAAGGCUUAACGAUGUCACCAUUUCUACCUGCCACGCAUCGGCGAAGGUUGGGACUCGACUGGUGUUUGAUCACGAUGGGAAAAUCAUCCAGAAAACCCCCUACCCCCACCCCAGAGGGACCACAGUCAGCGUGAAGCAGUUAUUUUCUACACUACCUGUGCACCAUAAGGAAUUUCAAAGGAAUAUUAAGAAGACGUGCCUGUUUCCCCUUCGCCUUCUGCCGUGAUUGUCAGUUUCCUGAGGCCUCCCCAGCCAUGCUUCCUGUACAGCCUGCAGAACUACUCAGCAGGAUGGAGGGAAAGUCUCACUGCAGACAGGGACACAGUCAGAUGACGUGGCAGCCAGGCAGCAGACAGCUUUUGCUGAUGAUGAGCUAUUACAUUGGUCAAGACUUUAUUGCAGGUGAUCUCAGCCCUCCUCCAGGCUUCGAUUAUAACUUACAGGAUUGUGAUUCACACAUUUCAGUUUCCACCACAGGCCCCUCCAGACAUGUCCAUCUGCCUGCUGUGUUGACUUUUCCCUUUGGAGUCUUGAGGCAGCUACAAGCUUACUGACCAGAAAUGAACUCAAGCUCUCCCCGAAGCCUGGUCCUCUUCCAGGAUCAGCCAGCCUGGAAGAUGGCACUGUCAUCCACCCUGUUCUCAGGCCUGCCACCCAGGAGUCAACCUUAGCCCCAUCUAAUUGUCAGAGGCAUCUGAACCACAGCAACUCCAUCUUGAGUAGGGGAUGGGUAAAAUGAGGCUGAGACCUGCUGGGCUGCAUUCCCAGACAGCCAAGGCAUUAGCCACAGGAUAAGAUAGGCGGUCGGUACAAGACACAGGUCAUAAAGACCUUGCUGAUAAAACAGUUGGCAGUAAAGAAGCCAGCCAAAACCCACUAAAACCAAGAUGGCAACGAGAGUGACCUCUGGUCGUCCUCACUGCUACCCUCCCACCAGCACCAUGACAGUUUACAAAUGCCAUGGCAAUGUCAGAAAGUUACCCUAUAGGGUCUAAAAAGGGGAGGCAUGAAUAAUCUACCCCUUGUUUAGCAUAUCAUCAAGAAAUAACCAUAAAAAUAGGCAACCAGCAGCCCUCAGGGAUGCUCUGUCUAUGGAGUAGCCAUUCUUUUGUUCCUUUACUCUCUUAAUAAACUUGUUUUCACUUUA
ensembl:lncRNA PMS2P4 PMS1 homolog 2, mismatch repair system component pseudogene 4